rnacentral:rRNA from 1 species
AUGUUCCGACCUGCACGAAUGGCGUAACGACUUCCCCGCUGUCUCCAACAUAGACUCAGCGAAAUUGAAUUACCGGUCAAGAUGCCGGUUACCCGCGGUUAGACGGAAAGACCCCGUGCACCUUUACUACAACUUCACACUGGCAUUAGGCCGAACAUGUGCAGGAUAGGUGGUGGGCUUUGAAGCGUGGACGCCAGUCUGCGUGGAGCCUCCCUUGAGAUACCACCCUUGCUCUGCUUGAUGUCUAACCGCGGUCCAUUAUCUGGAUCCGGGACCCUGUGUGGCGGGUAGUUUGACUGGGGCGGUCGCCUCCUAAAGAGUAACGGAGGCGCGCGAUGGUAGGCUCAGGCCGGUUGGAAACCGGCUGCGAGAGUGCAAUGGCAUAAGCCUGCCUGACUGCGAGACCGACAGGUCGAGCAGAGACGAAAGUCGGUCAUAGUGAUCCGGUGGUCCCUCGUGGAAGGGCCAUCGCUCAACGGAUAAAAGGUACGCCGGGGAUAACAGGCUGAUACUGC